rnacentral:rRNA from 1 species
AUUAGGACGUGCUCGCACUGAAUAAGAUUUUAACACGAAGUGAGUGGCGGACGGGUGAGUAACACGUGGGUAACCUGCCCAGAAGCAGGGGAUAACACCUGUGAAACAGAUGCUAAUACCGUAUAACAGAGAAAACCGCCUGGUUUUCUUUUAAAAGAUGGCUCUGCUAUCACUUCUGGAUGGACCCGCGGCGCAUUAGCUAGUUGGUGAGGUAACGGCUCACCAAGGCGAUGAUGCGUAGCCGACCUGAGAGGGUAAUCGGCCACAUUGGGACUGAGACACGGCCCAGACUCCUACGGGAGGCAGCAGUAGGGAAUCUUCCACAAUGGACGCAAGUCUGAUGGAGCAACGCCGCGUGAGUGAAGAAGGGUUUCGGCUCGUAAAGCUCUGUUGUUAAAGAAGAACGUGGGUGAGAGUAACUGUUCACCCAGUGACGGUAUUUAACCAGAAAGCCACGGCUAACUACGUGCCAGCAGCCGCGGUAAUACGUAGGUGGCAAGCGUUAUCCGGAUUUAUUGGGCGUAAAGCGAGCGCAGGCGGUCUUUUAAGUCUAAUGUGAAAGCCUUCGGCUCAACCGAAGAAGUGCAUUGGAAACUGGGAGACUUGAGUGCAGAAGAGGACAGUGGAACUCCAUGUGUAGCGGUGAAAUGCGUAGAUAUAUGGAAGAACACCAGUGGCGAAGGCGGCUGUCUGGUCUGUAACUGACGCUGAGGCUCGAAAGCAUG